GUUUUACCAGUUGCCUCUAUGAGGGGUUGAAGAGAAGGCAGGAUCUUUCCCAAAACCAGUUAUAACAAAGACACAUCAGAAACUGUGGAGCACAUAUUUUACCAUAAGGUGUAGUUAGUUAAUUUAAAAUCAUUUAUUAUGUGAAUUCAUUCAAAGAUGGACUAAAACACUUCAGUCUGUAACUCCUGAUUGAUUUCUCCUCCUUAAUUCCCCAGGAUUCCCCUGCACUUCCCGAAUGAAGCAUGUGCUUCCUUUGGUGACUGUGCUGCUGCAAGCUGCCCAGAGGAGACUUGCUGCAAGGUUCCCAGUCGCCUUCCUGAUCCCCAUGAUGGAGAGUGAUGGGUGCCUGAGAGAGAAGACCACAAAGGAAGAGAGGGGAAAUGUCAGAGAGGCCGGGUAG
rnacentral:lncRNA from 1 species